AUACGGAGGACGCGAGCGUUAUCCGGAUUUAUUGGGUUUAAAGGGAGCGUAGGUGGGAUAUUAAGUCAGCUGUGAAAGUUUGGGGCUCAACCUUAAAAUUGCAGUUGAUACUGGUUUCCUUGAGUACGGUACAGGUGGGCGGAAUUCGUGGUGUAGCGGUGAAAUGCUUAGAUAUCACGAAGAACUCCGAUCGCGAAGGCAGCUCACCGGGCCGGAACUGACACUGAUGCUCGAAAGUGCGGGUAUCAAACAGGAUUAGAUACCCUGGUAGUCCGCACAGUAAACGAUGAAUACUCGCUGUUUGCGAUACACUGUAAGCGGCCAAGCGAAAGCGUUAAGUAUUCCACCUGGGGAGUACGCCGGCAACGGUGAAACUCAAAGGAAUUGGCGGGG
rnacentral:rRNA from 1 species